ensembl:lncRNA
UGGAAACCGUAUCCAAGCAAUAACAGUCGAUCGUGUUUCCCAUUGGCUACCGUUCCCUGAAGCCCUCCCUCACAAGGUGCCCAGACGAGAGCAGGGCCAAUCCUGGCUGACUGCGCUAAACGUCAGAAUUUUGGAUGCAUCUUUCUAGAGGUUGAAGAGGGGACACUGGUUCUAUCCCCAAUCUGGGAAGAUUCCACAUGCCUUGGAGCAGCAAAGCUCGGGAGCCACAUGAGCCCUCUUGCCUAGAGCUAAUACUGCAUAACAAGAGAAGCCACCACAAGGAGAAGCCGAGCACCACAGGAAGACACCGCACAACCGAAAAUAAGUAAAUGCAUAAAAUCAAGGCAAUUAAAAUGCAUAAAAAUCAAG